rnacentral:misc_RNA from 1 species
GCCUCUACUAAAGAUGCCUUACUAACAAGAGAGUAUCUUUUCAAUGGAACAUAACCAAUUUCAUUUUAUUUUUUUGGAAGAGUUUGUACGUAUGUAACCAAAACAUACAGACACCAGAAAGUAUAUUUUAAUUUAUUCCGUUUAUGAACUCCAAGACUUGUACUUACUGAACACUUAUGCUACUCAAAAUAUAUGUACUUAUCAUAUACAAAUAAUAAUUUGCGUUGCAUCAAACACCUCUUAAUUCAAUUUGCAUCAGCCAAGGCUGCGGCAUCUUUGAAUCCCCUAAAAACAGAUUUGACAACAUCAGGUGUAGGAAGACUUUGUUUAAUAAUAGGAAGUUGAAUGAAAUUGUUGAUCCAUGCAUGUAAACAAGGGUAUUUUGUUGAAUCCAUUGCUUUAAAUUCACCAAUUUCUUCAAUAUAUUGGAACCAAUAAGCAAUCCAACCAGUUAUUAUAUCAAGGUACCCUAUUUUCUCACCACCAAAAAACUUUUUCCCAAUUAUUUGUCCUUCAAGAAGAUGUAAUCCCUCUACCACCGAUUCAACUCCCUCUGCUUUUGUUUCUCCAGAGGAGAAAAAUGCCUUCUUAGCUGCUUCAUAAAACUUGCCAUCAACAAAACGAGCCCAAAAACGAGUAGAAGCUCUUUGAAAAGGAUCCAGAGGAAAUAAAGGAUUAAUAAGUGGCCAUGUUUCUUCAAUAUACUCAAGAAUAACAAGUGAUUCAGCUAAUGAUUUUCCAUCAUGAACAAUAACAGGCACUUUAUUGUAAACUGGGUUAAGUUUCACAAGCAAUGGACUACUUCUGCUAGAAAAAUCUUGCUCAAUAAAUUCAUAACAAAUGCCUUUCAACUUAAGUGCCCAUAUUAUUCUUUGAGUAAAUAUACUUUCUUUUGUGCCCAAAAGUUUCACAUCUUCCAUUCUUAAUAAUUU